ACACCGCUGGGGAGUCCCACAACAGGACGAAACGGCCUUCCAGUGU
rnacentral:hammerhead_ribozyme from 1 species